rnacentral:misc_RNA from 1 species
AACGCACAUUGCGCCUGCUGGUAUUCCGGUAGGCAUGCCUGUUCGAGCGUCAGCAAAACCUCUCAAUGAUAAUUUUUAUUGUUGGUUCUGGGCUGAGGAGGACUAGUCAUUCAUGGCUGCUCCCGCCUUAAACUUGCUGCACGACCGCAAGCUAAUGCUAGGUUAAUGAAGUGGUGUUUACAUAUAUUUCAGCAACCGUUCAUGGCUUUGUGGCGUUAAAAACUGAUUGUUGCCUUUUGGUGACUUUCUUGACUUUUGACCUCGGAUCAGACAAGGAUACCCGCUGAACUUAA